rnacentral:rRNA from 1 species
UACGAAGGGGGCUAGCGUUGCUCGGAAUCACUGGGCGUAAAGGGUGCGUAGGCGGGUCUUUAAGUCAGGGGUGAAAGCCUGGAGCUCGACUCCAGAACUGCCUUUGAUACUGAAGAUCUUGAGUUCGGGAGAGGUGAGUGGAACUGCGAGUGUAGAGGUGAAAUUCGUAGAUAUUAGGAAGAACACCAGUGGCGAAGGCGGCUCACUGGAUCGGUACUGACGCUGAGGUGCGAAAGCGUGGGGAGCAAACAGG